rnacentral:snRNA from 2 species
AGUUUUCAAAAUAACACAACAUAUGUCACCCUAUUGAUCACCAGGGUAGAUUUGUCUAAUCUGGCCAGUUAGAUGGGUGUCUCCUUUCUCCCUGAGCACUCCAUGUGUGUGCCUCCUGAAGCUGUGCACUUGGUCACUCAGUAGAAUAGGAUGACCUUCCCUGACAGAGGAGGACCAUUCUUCUGUCAAAGGUAUAUGAGUAGCUGUGCUAGUAUCUCCAAACAAAUUUUCUUAGCAUCUUCUAGUGAUGAGAAAUUUAACUUUAAAACAUCAUUAUGAAAUCAUGGUUUUAAGUAUAUUUAAUAUAUUUCAAUCCAU